rnacentral:rRNA from 1 species
UACGUAGGGUGCGAGCGUUAAUCGGAAUUACUGGGCGUAAAGCGUGCGCAGGCGGUUAUGUAAGACAGACGUGAAAUCCCCGGGCUCAACCUGGGAACUGCAUUUGUGACUGCAUAGCUAGAGUACGGUAGAGGGGGAUGGAAUUCCGCGUGUAGCAGUGAAAUGCGUAGAUAUGCGGAUGAACACCGAUGGCGAAGGCAAUCCCCUGGACCUGUACUGACUCUCAUGCACGAAAGCGUGGGGAGCAAACAGG